rnacentral:rRNA from 1 species
UACGAAGGGGGCUAGCGUUGUUCGGAAUUACUGGGCGUAAAGCGCACGUAGGCGGGUUGUUAAGUCAGGGGUGAAAUCCUGGAGCUCAACUCCAGAACUGCCUUUGAUACUGGCAACCUAGAGACUGGAAGAGGUUAGUGGAAUUCCCAGUGUAGAGGUGAAAUGCGUAGAUAUCGGGAGGAACACCAGUGGCGAAGGCGACUUCCUGGCCUGUUCUUGACGCUGAGGCGCGAAAGCUAGGGGAGCAAACGGG